rnacentral:lncRNA from 10 species
UUUCAUUUUCCUGCAGAGCUCAUCAGGAAAGGCUGCUCUGACAUGGAACCAGUAAGCUCUUCCCUCUACCUGCCGGGUGAUUCACACGGGCUCUGAACCAACGCUGGAGGUAGCCUGCAUCAUUUCUUCAUCUGAAGAAGGAAAGACCUGUGUGGGCACAGCAGGGAGGCAGCCCUCUGCAAGCCAGGAGGCAGCCCUCUCCAGGAACCAGCCCUGCCCACGCCUUCAUCUCAGACUCCAUCCUCCAGAACUGUGAGAAAACAAUUUCUGUUGUUAAGUAGCCGGGACGACAGGCAUGUGCCUCCACACCCAGCUAAUUUUUGUAAUUUUGUAGAGACAGGGUUUCACCAUGUUGCCCAGGCUGGUUUCGAACUCCUGGACUCAAGCAAUUCACCCACUUCUGCCUCCCAAAGUACUGGGAUUACAGGUGUGAGCCACUUUGCCCAGCCUCCAGAACCUUUUUAUUUUCCCAAAUGGAAACUCUGUCCCCAUUAAACGCUCACUCCCCUUCCUUCUCCCUAGCUCCUUGCAGCCCUCACCCUCCUUUUUGUCUCUGUGGUUUGACUCCACUAGGGAACCUCAGAUCAGUGGGUCCCACGAUUAUUGUUUAUGCUGCUUGUAUCUUUAGACAUAAUUGAGUUUUGAAAUAAAAAAAGAAAAUCAAAAAUAAAACAUCAAAUUUUAAAUCAAGAAUUCAAGCUGUCUUUAUUUAUUUUACAAACAAUAACAUGGCCACGUGAAUUCACGAUUCUAAUGAAGUGUGACCUAGUCCUGCCACCCUGAAUUCAUCAGAGAUCAGGGGCGUGGCCUCGGGAACCUCAGGUCUCAGGGAAUCCACCAGGCCUUUCCCACACAACCAAAGCGAGAAGCACAAGCACAUCUCAGCGUCUCUGCAAGUUUGUCGUCUUUCCUUGACUUCAACC